GACGAACGCUGGCGGCGUGCUUAACACAUGCAAGUCGAACGGAAAGGCCCUGCUUUUGUGGGGUGCUCGAGUGGCGAACGGGUGAGUAACACGUGAGUAACCUGCCCUUGAAUUUGGGAUAACUUCAGGAAACUGGGGCUCAUACCGGAUAGGAGCUCCUGAUGCAUGGUGGGGGUUGGAAAGUUUCGGCGGUUGGGGAUGGACUCGCGGCUUAUCAGCUUGUUGGGGGGGUAGGGGCUUACCAAGGCUUUGACGGGUAGCCGGCCUGAGAGGGUGACCGGCCACAUUGGGACUGAGAUACGGACCAGACUCCUACGGGAGGCAGCAGUGGGGAAUAUUGCAGAAUGGGCGGAAGCCUGAUGCAGCAACGCCGCGUGCGGGAUGACGGCCUUCGGGUUGUAAACCGCUUUCGCCUGUGACGAAGCGUGAGUGACGGUAAUGGGUAAAGAAGCACCGGCUAACUACGUG
rnacentral:rRNA from 1 species